CAAAGUGUAGCUUAAUAAAAGCAUCUGGCUUACACCCAGAAGAUUUCAUGACUAAUGACCACUUUGA
rnacentral:tRNA from 2 species